rnacentral:rRNA from 1 species
UACAGAGGGUGCAAGCGUUAAUCGGAAUUACUGGGCGUAAAGCGUGCGUAGACGGUUACGCAAGUCGGGUGUGAAAGCCCCGGGCUCAACCUGGGAAUGGCGAUGGAUACUGGCUCGCUAGAGUGCGGUAGAGGAGAGUGGAAUUCCCGGUGUAGCAGUGAAAUGCGUAGAGAUCGGGAGGAACAUCAGUUGCGAAGGCGGCUCUCUGGACCAGCACUGACACUGAGGCACGAAAGCGUGGGGAGCAAACAGG